rnacentral:tRNA from 1 species
AAGGAAAUAAGACUAAAGGUAGCUGCUAACUAACUUUUAAAGCGGUUAAACUCCGUUUUUUCCUUA